AUACAGUAUUUACAACUGUUUACCCACCUCCAAAAGCUUUUAAGCUGCAUUAAUUUUUUGAUCUCCAGGGACUAGUUUUGCUCUUCACAAAUCUUAAUUUCUUGUUAUUAAAUAUUUAUUAGAGAAAAAAUUGCUAGCCAUACCUAUUAAAGUACUCCAGGAAAGCCUGCCCUUAAAUUUGGGCUUGUACCUACACUUUAUUCAUAAACUAGUUUUAUUUCAGCCUGCGUACAAGGAGGAAUUGGGAAAAUCUUUGGAGGGAUGGAAUGGAACAGGACACGUUCAGGACAUGUUCCCUUUCCCUUUCAACCUUUAUUAGUUUCAAAGUGUAGAAAAAGGGCAGAGGGAAUUCUGAUACUUUAUUGGUUUGUUGGGGCAUUUUUCCUGUUUGGUUGUGGUUGUUCAUGGUUGUUUUGGGUUUUUUUUUUUUUUUAUUUUUUAUUUGAAGCUGUUUCAGAUGCACUGAAAAACCAAAGAUCUGGAUGUGAACAAGGUAUCUGUACCUUUAAUAAAGGUACCUAAGCUGCUGCCACUGACCCUGAAGAAAGGAAGGAUGUUGUGGAUAAAGGCUCUCUAAUGUAUUUAUUAUUCCUCCCCUGUAAAAGCCAGCAUUUAAGGAACUACAGCUGCAGGGAUACAUGCUAGGAGCAAAGGAGCUAAAACGAGGUUCUCCCCAUUCCUUGAACUAGACCUACAAGCACUGGUUCUGUACUGAGGAAUAAGGCAGAAGCUAAAGAAUCAGAGAACAGUCCAGAUUUGAAAGGACCCUGUAAGACCAUUUAUGAGAAAGAUGAGCCUAGAUGAGUCUAAAGAAGUCACCUAGAUGAAAGGUGAGCCUGCCACAUCCCUGGAGAGAUAAUGUGAUUUUGUAAUAAAGACUACAUGCCUGUCAUUUAGGUGAAAAGUUAAAUUGUUGAAGUUAUGCUUAGUUGUACUUUCUUGCAGUGAGUAUUUUUAACAAGGGCUUUCUCAAAAAAAGUCUUCAUCAGUAAACUCUUAUCUUUCUCCUUUGGUGCCUAAUCACCCCCUGAAAUCCUGAACUAUUUACUCAUGACAAUUUAUAUUAGAAAUGAAACAAUUUUGAAACUAAGAGAUUUAUAUUUAAGUUUUACUUAUAUUCAAAGUAGGAAAUAACAUUCCUUGUAACAGCUCAAUGUUUAUAAUGAUACAAUGAAAAAGUGAUUAACAGUUGGCUUUAAAUGAUCAUUUGCAGACAUUAUAGUCCUGUAAAUUAAGCUCUCUUCAGGCCUUUAAUUGUAACAUCAGUUAUAUAAUUGACCAGGUACCUCCAGGAAGGAACACUGAGAUUUCUUCCUUAUGUAUAAAGCUUUAUUACCAAAAAUAUAAAAAUCCUAAAGUAAUUUGAAGUACUUGAGAGGAAAAAGUGCUAUUGUAGAAGUUUAAUAUUUUUUAUCCAUGGAGUAUGUUGUAACUUCAAAGAAUUUGGUGCAUUUUUAGGCACUGUUUUUGUAUCUUCAUUUGCCCGAAAUAUACAGCAGGACUUGAGAUGCCCAAAAACUGUUUAAGACAAAUUUAAGGCAACCAAGUGCAGAAGCUCAGUGUACAUUAGAUAUAUGUAAACAGAACAUUUCAUAGUAGAAAUUGUACAACUAUUACAAGUCCAUAGUAUUAGCAAAGGCCAAAACCAUUCUGCCUAGAGACACAAAUGCAAAAUGUAGUUACACUAACCAAGCCAAAAAUUAAGAAUUCUGGGAAAUGAAGUGUCAUCAUCUCUAACAAGAGGCAGAUGCAGUACAUUGCUGUGCUAGAGUAAGUGCUCUGCUUUUACCCAUUCUACGUAACGUGCAGUCUCUCCCAAGUUUGUUCUGUUCCAUUUAGUGAUGUACCAGCCAACAGCAGAGCUUCAAAUGUUAAACCAAAAUGCACAACACAGCAAACAGAUGGAAUGUGAAUGUACAGAUAUUGGACCUUUUUAAAAAUACAGUACCUAGGAUUUCCCAUUUUAAACAGUUUUCAGCAUAUUGCAUAGCAGUGAACUCAUCUGCUACCUAAAACUCUUGCUGCUGACCCACAUGGAGUUCCUCUUCAGUCUUCUUUCAGUUUUCUUUCAUACUGUACAGUGGGUCCACAAGCUUAUUGUGCACAUGCAUUAAACCUUGGGGGGAAAGCAACAAUGCCAGCUUUACAUUAGUUAUACUUUGUUAACAUGUUCUAUCCACAUUUUUAUUUGGAAUUUGCUCAAAGCAUACAUUAAAUAAUUCAUUGAAGAGAACAACAAUGGUUAUUUAAAGUAAUUCAGAGUCAGAAACAGCAGAUAUAUUCCUGUAUCACUUGCAUACUAAUGACAUAUUCAGUAUCAGCUGAGCAGGGACCAGACAGUUCCCUGAUACCAGACCCAAAAAACACAUCUGGAAUACUUCCCAAUAAACUGAAUAGAUCUUCCAUGUAUUAAAAACUGUGUAACAGCAAUGCAAUUCCCUCAUACCACAAUUUGCCAUAAAAAUCAGAGGCACACAUAGUGAGACUUUGACAGCUUGAGUUCUUUUGCAAUUUUCUAGCACUGUGGUAAUACUGUCUUUGUAAUAAUCAUGUACUUGUGGUCCUAGAUAGGCAAAAUCAAAUUAUCCAGACUCUUAGUGCAGACUCAAUUUCAGCAGUUCAGCUGUUUUCUGUUGUAGCUGGGCUUUUCCUUGUCAUAUACAAGUCCUUCAUAGCUAUGAUUAGGGGGGGUUAUUUUUUUUCCUCUUCAACUACUUUAAUUCUGAUAAAUGCUGAAGUGCAAUUAAUUAAAAAAGAUGCUUCUUUCUUAACUUUGCUAUAACUUAGUAAAAAUGUUACCUACAUCUAGGUAUGUAUGACAUUGGAUCACUGGCAGGUUUUUAACCUCAUUUCACCUUGAGGACUAGUAACAGUAAUGAUCAGUAUUCACAAGCUGCAAAGUAAAAGUCCAUUUUAGUAUUGAACUAAAGACUUCUAAAAUUAAAAUAUGCAACUCUAAAAGUAAUUUUCUUAAAAACCGUGAAAAAUCUUGCAGUACUGCAUAUUUAUUAUCUAUGGCAAAGAAUAUUCAAAUACCUCUGCUACAUGAUGCAGCUGGUGGUAACCUUGGUGUCACUGCAGCAACAUGAACUUUGAGUUAACUAUACAGUCUAAUGUCUUUACUGUAGGUGACCACAAAAAAGGCAUCUUAUGCAGCAUCUAUUACUAAUCAUUAUGUGAUUAUUUAAUAUAAAAUACAGGUGUUAGAUCAAAUGUAUUAUUUUUCUAGUUUAACAGUGACAAAAACUUAAAUAUACAUUUGACAUAAAAGUUGUUUGUCCAGAAAGAGUAACAGCUGCAUAUACUAUGUAAACUAGAAACACGUUUUGAGCUUUAGAGCUUUUAACUUCCUGUUAAUAUUCUCCUCUUCUAAAAAGGGGAAAUGAAAUAAUUACCCACUUCCUAGAUGCAUGAAAAAUGGUUGCAAAGUAUAGCUUCUGUCAUACUUAAUGAAGAAUAUUUAAAUCCUGUUAGUGAAAGUGUUUCAGGAAAACCAGUGAGAAACAAAAGAUUUUUUUAAAGGAAUGCACUUGGUAGAUGCCAAAACAAUUAUUUCAGAGGAAAGUCCCACUGGAUAUUCAAGUAUGCUUUGAAUAAACAGAUUUCUGCACACAGUUUUAAAACAAGCACAUGUAAGUAAGUAAAAAACUAUCCUGAACUAACUUAUCUGCAGAUAAAUCAGUAAAUUCAAAACUCAUUUUCUGUUUCAUUCUCCAAGAAAGUUGCAAGUAAGACCAUAAGCACACUUGAUUAUUUUAGCCUAUUACAGGUUUUCAGAAAGUUAGAAAAAAUGGCAUAGGUUAAUCUGUUAACCAGCCAAUGUGGUACUUGAUUGUAAAACAAAAAAAUGCGGUUUCAUAUUGAAAGUUUUAAGUGGUGAAAAAUCUCCAUAAAUCACUACCAUAAAUAGCAGUAUUAAGAACUACCUAGCUUCCCUAAGAAGUCUAACCUGAAGAUCAAGUUUCAGAAAUAAUUCCAAAUUUGACCCACACUGACUUCCCCAUUUUACAAGGGGAAAAAAAAUCUCACUGAUUUGAGAGCAGGUAAAAUUAAUUAAGUUAAAAGUAGACCAUCUUUUUUAAAAGUUCUAUUGCUAUGUAUUACAGGGUAAUUAAACAGUGACACAAUAGCAUACAUUCAUAAAUCGUAGCCCUUGAUGUUUUUUAAAGCAGUGUUCAGUGUUGUUUAUAUUUAAUGAUUCUACAUUAGGUUUGUAUUUCCCAAGCAAAGCC